rnacentral:lncRNA from 1 species
CCGGACUCCGUCUCCAACUCCAACUGCAGACAAACUUCGUCCGGACUCCUACGGGAGCCGGACUUCGUCCCCAACUUCGGCUGUAGGCAAACUUCGUCCGGACUCCUACGGGAGCUGGACUCUGUCUCCAACUUCGGCUGCAGGCAGACUUCGUCCGGACUCCACGGGAGCCGAACUCCGUCUCCAACUCCAACUGCAG